GUGGGGAAUAUUGGACAAUGGGGGGAACCCUGAUCCAGCCAUGCCGCGUGUGUGAAGAAGGCCUUUUGGUUGUAAAGCACUUUAAGCGAGGAGGAGGCUACCGAGAUUAAUACUCUUGGAUAGUGGACGUUACUCGCAGAAUAAGCACCGGCUAACUCUGUGCCAGCAGCCGCGGUAAUACAGAGGGUGCAAGCGUUAAUCGGAUUUACUGGACGUAAAGCGCGCGUAGGUGGCCAAUUAAGUCAAAUGUGAAAUCCCCGAGCUUAACUUGGGAAUUGCAUUCGAUACUGGUUGGCUAGAGGAUGGGAGAGGAUGGUAGAAUUCCAGGUGUAGCGGUGAAAUGCGUAGAGAUCUGGAGGAAUACCGAUGGCGAAGGCAGCCAUCUGGCCUAAUACUGACACUGAGGUGCGAAAGCAUGGGGAGCAAACAGGAUUAGAAACCCCGGUAGUCC
rnacentral:rRNA from 1 species